GAUAAACGCUGGCGGCGUGCCUAACGCAUGCACGUCGAACGAUCCCGCAAGGGAGAGUGGCGGAAGGGUGAGUAACACGUGGGAAUCUACCUCCUCGCAGGGAACAACCUCUCGAAAGAGAGGCUAAUACCCAAAAGGGUCAGAAAUGAUCAGAGUCGAAAGGCGUGAGGAGAGGAGCCCGCGGCCCAUCAGCUAGUUGGUGAGGUAAUGGCUUACCAAGGCUACGACGGGUAGGGGAUCUGAGAGGAUGUCCCCCACACUGGAACUGAAACACGGUCCAGACGCCUACGGGUGGCAGCAGUGAGGAAUAUUGGACAAUGGGCGAAAGCCCGAUCCAGCAACGCCGCGUGGAGGAUGAAGGCCUUCGGGUCGUAAACUUCUUUAGAGGGAGACGAGAAAGGACGGUAUCCCUAGAAUAAGCGACGGCAAACUACGUGCCAGCAGCCGCGGUAAU
rnacentral:rRNA from 1 species